CAAAUCAAGAUAGGCAGUGCAUGUGGUCAUAGAAAGAAAAUGUUCAGAUGGGUGGUCAAUGUCCAAGGCCUCUGAUUCUUUGCACUGUGAAACAGAAGUGUUUGAUGUAUACCUGCUAAAAAGCUUCUGACUCAGUCACUUAAAGGAGACAGAAUCUGCACUGAAAUCUCUGUUGGACAGAAUGACAUGUUUACCGCUAUAGCUGAAAGCACUUUGUCUGAACCACCUCUCCAGGCCUCAGCCUGCACGCAGCCGUGCUCAAACAUUACCAGAAAAAGACACCUUUUGGGAUUUGGUCAGCCUCAUGUUCUGUUCAUCCAGAGGUGUGCUCUGCAAGAACCAAGCUUCAAAUAAAGAUUGUGAGGAAACUUUGUUUUAUUCUCAUCCAAGUUUAAGGAAACCUGAAGAAGGCUCAGACCGGGCUUCAUUAUCUUCGCGUGCAGUUGGGAGCUGCGUGGAAGCUUGAUAUUGCAGCCCACUGGCCAGCUAGCCCUCCUUCCCCCAUCCCAAGUUUAGGGCAGACUGUCUGCCAGUUGGCAGCUGGGAACGAAAACAAACUAGGUGGCCAACUUGACUAGGGUUUUAAUUUUUAUUUUCUGAAAUGUCUUUGUCAGAUUUAGUACCAGGAACAU